GACGAACGCUGGCGGCGUGCUUAACACAUGCAAGUCGAGCGGAAAGGCCCCUUCGGGGGUACUCGAGCGGCGAACGGGUGAGUAACACGUGAGUAAUCUGCCCUUCACUUUGGGAUAACCCCCGGAAACGGGAGCUAAUACCGGAUACGACCACCGUCCGCAUGGGCUGGUGGUGGAAACUUUUUUGGGUGGGGGAUGUGCUCGCGGCCUAUCAGCUUGUUGGUGGGGUAAUGGCCUACCAAGGCUUUGACGGGUAGCCGGCCUGAGAGGGUGACCGGCCACACUGGGACUGAGACACGGCCCAGACUCCUACGGGAGGCAGCAGUGGGGAAUAUUGGACAAUGGGCGGAAGCCUGAUCCAGCAACGCCGCGUGAGGGAUGACGGCCUUCGGGUUGUAAACCUCUUUCAGCACCGACGAAGCGCAAGUGACGGUAGGUGCAGAAGAAGGACCGGCCAACUACGUGCCAGCAGCCGCAGUAAUAC
rnacentral:rRNA from 1 species